rnacentral:lncRNA from 1 species
AGCCAUCCAUCAACCCUCCACAACCGCCCAAAGCAAUUCCCACAAUUGCUUAAGAGAUCGUUGCCAAAUUCCGCCGUCAUCUCCACCACCACGGAUCAUCCUUUGAUCUCCCCGUGAAUUGCAACAGGUUCUGGUUUUCUACCUUACUGCUGCUGCAAUUUAGUUAUCCUUAUUUGAAAAUCCCAAAAAAAUUAUUCCUAUAUUACUGCAUAAACUUUUCGUCAUAAAAUUUUCAUCUCUACAACGAAAGAUACAUUGCAGAAUUCCAACCGUAUAGCACCGUCUGUUUGAUCUUGAUACUAUGUUGUUUCUAUCCAAA